ACGAGGCACAGCUAGCUGGG
rnacentral:misc_RNA from 1 species